CCCUUAGAUGUUCUGGGCGGCCCGCGCACUACACUGGCACUCUCAAUCAGAGCCUGGAUCUAACACUUUGGGGUAUUCUAUGAAGUGGUGUCGUGACUGGGAUUAACCCUUGCAAUUAUUGGUUACGAACGAGGAAUUCCUUGUAAUCGCGGUUUAUCAGCCCGCGUUGAAUGCGUCCCUGCCCUUUGUACACACCGCCCGUCGCUCCUACCGAUGGAUCGUCCGGUGAAGCUCAUGGAGGGGCGGUUGUCUCAGCUGCCGUCGAAGUGAAAUGGACCUCACGACCUAGAGGAAGGAGAAGUCGUAACA
rnacentral:rRNA from 1 species